UCUGCGGUCCAAGAGCAGCCUCUAGUUUGACCCCCCAGCGCUAGCAAUGCUCAGCUGUCGUCUGCGGUGACAGUUGAGUGGUUUAAUACAGGAACCACAGGUGAAAGAGGUCUGGGGUUCAGGCGAGGUUGCAGCUCCACCCCAGUGGUCCCACCCCAGCAGGCAAGGGCGGGGCGGAGGAUGCUGCUGCUCCGUCUGGGUUUCAUUCUAGACUAGAGGGGCACAGAGUCCAGACUCAGACCUCUGUCCCACCUGCAUGUGGUGGCGACAUGGGCGCCCGGAAACGCGGGACCAGAAGCCGGAGAAGCCGGGACAGCCCCAUGCCCACGCCAUGCAUUCAGGCACUGUGCUUCGACCCUCUGGUGCGACGCUGCUUGGAAUGUAACCUCCUCCGCACAACGGACCCUCCUAGGCACGUCUUCGACCCCUCGGUCCUCCGCCCUCCAUCCGCAUCCCCUUCACCAUCAGCGCCCGGGACAGCGCUGCAGCCGCAGGAGUCGGUGGGCACGGGACCAGGGCCUGACGCGACGCUGCCGCUGCCCGGGCUGCUCUUCGGCGCCCCCGCGCUCCUGGGAUUGGUUCUGGUGCUGGUCCUGGUGGCCCUGGUGAUCUGGAGGUGGUGGCGGCAACGCAGGACGGCCUCCCCUGACACUCCAGACGGAGUCCAGGAAGAUGAGGAAAGUGAGGCCUUCAUAAGGAGAGGACCUGCCAUCGCCAUCAUAAUGAAACAAGAAGGAAGCUCUUUGGGAAAACCAGAAAACAAGAGGAAGGGGACAAGGAGCAGGGACACUGUCCCCACCCCCAAGGGCUGCACUGUCAGGGAAUGAAUCAGUACCCUGCCGUUGCCAUUGCCGCUCGGCUGGCAUCACAGGAACAGAGCAAGCGCCUUCUCCUGAAGAAACCUCUGCCUGCAGUGACAAUGGCCUUGACCUCUCUAAUGACCUCUGGGUGACACACUUAUGUCCUGAGACCUGGAACGACCAUCACGUCCACAAGUGUGAUUAUGUGGUUGCGAGAUACAAAUCACAACCAGUGUUGGGGCUUUUUAUUGGGGUACCUGCCCUCAUCCAGUCUGCCUACCCAACAGGGGGUCACCUACCCAAGCUAGGUCCUGGAGAGCCACUGACUCAGGCACUGACCGGCCCCCACCUCUUGUUUUCAUCGCUACUCAGAGACUUGUCUCUGGCAUUAGCUUUGGCCCAAGGUAGGUUCUGGAAGGCACGCUGGAUGAAGUGGGAACAGAGGGAGGCAGCCCAACACCCCCUAGCCUGCUUCUGUCUGGGGUUUCCUUUGGAGGGUCUGGUUUCCCCCAGGUCCCCAGGGACUAACAGGUGGGGGCCAAGGGUAGAAGUCUCAGUUCCCUUUGGUGUUUCCUGCAGGCCGUUUUCACUUCCUGCCUGGCAGCUCCGGGCCUUGGGGCUCAAGGUGGAGGUGGGGACCCACUAGUGAAGCCAGAUAGGAAAGCCUGCUGAUUUCCCCCUCUCCCACCUCCUCUUUGUCAGCAGAGAUGGACAACCCCGCCUUUAAAAGUUGGGCAGGUCUCAAGGUCUGCCUCUUUAUCUUCCAGACUGGGGCUUCUGCUUAGAGGUGUGGCUCAGUUGGUGGAGUGCUUGCCUAAUGUCCUUGAAGCGCUUAGUUCCACCCCCACCACGUUAUAAAAUGGGGCUUGGAGGCUCGAGUCUGUAAUCCUGUAAUCCCAGAAUUUGGGAGGUGGAUGCAGGAAUAUCCGGUGCAUGAGACCUUGUCUUUAAAACACGAAACAAAACAAAAGUUUCCUGAAGACCACCCAGCUGUCACGCCGACCUCCCAAGACUCUGCAGCCAGGGAGAGGGGCCGGAUGGGACGGAUCCUUAAGCUUUAAUGAAUCUGGGUUCCAGGUCUGCACCUCGCAGCUUUGUCUGCGCAGCUAGAGAAGUCUUCGCCAGACCACCAGCUAAGACUAGAGGGUCCGACUAGAGAGCGCAGAAUGACCCUGAACUCCUGAUCUGGCCAACCCUUUACGAAUGAUGGUAUUCGCUGCCACGCCAGGUCCCCCCCCACCCCCGGUUGUGCUGAGGAUGGAAUCCCUGGUGCUCAC